GUCAGGUUGGCCGAGUGGUCUAAGGCGCCAGAUUUAAGCUCUGGUUCCCAGUGGGAGCGUGGGUUCGAACCCCACACCUGACA
rnacentral:tRNA from 1 species